AGAGGGUUGGGGAAGGCAGAAAGAGUGAAAGACUGACUUGGGUAUCCUGAGAAUGCGUUUUCAAUUUACCUAGUCAGAGUGUUAGUGGGAGAUACCCCUGGGGCCAGAGGGAACAGCAGGAUUGACAGAAAGGGGAAGGGUAGACUGACAGAAACAAAGAAACCCCAUCUUUUCUUCCCAUUCUUUUGUCAACCACGGUUGCAAAUACUGGAGGACUGGCUGCAGAGAGCAUUAGCUCUUGUCUGUUUGACUCUAUCAUCAGUUUGAGUGUGGGCACGGGAGGGCACAGAGUUCGUGCCUCAGAUACAAAGCAAGUGUUCCUCCAGGCGCCUGACCGCGUCUCAGCUCUUUGCUAGCAGAGCCAAGAUCCUCAUCUUCUAAUGACCAGCAUUAGGAAGAGAGAGUGGAAACCUAUAGGAAAAAGAACAAACGAAAAAGUCACAGAGCUGUGACUGCAUUAAUAACAUCUGGUGAGAUAAAAGGCAAGUAGCAAGUGGGGUUUGUUGCAUGUGGUGGUGCAUGCCUGCUGUCAUAGUAUUUGGAAACUAAAGGCAGGGGGAUUAAAAAGAAUUCAAGGCCAGCCUGGGAUACAUAGCAAGAUCCUUUUUUUUUUUUUAAAGAAAAGUAAUGUUAUUUAUUUAUUUAUUUAUUUAUUUAAUUUACAUAAUCUUGAAUCUCACAGACAAAUUCAGGAUUAACUUUAGUCAAGACCACUCUGAUGCCAGCUUACCAAAGCUGCUAGCCAACAUCGUGGUGGUCUCCCAAUGAUUUUACUGCUCCACAUGAAGAGGAACAGCUUUGACCCCAACAGUCUUAUUAGUGUUUCUAAGAAAGACAAUGAAGUUCAUGGAGGAAGUAUGGGGGGUUGGGGGGGCAGGUUGGUAUUUUGUUUGAGACAGGUCUCACUAUGUUGCUCUGUCUGGCCUGGAACUCACCGUGUAGAUCAAGCAUCCUGAGUGCUGAUACAAACGGCGUGCACCUCCACAAUGAGCAGAAGUGUGCAUCUUUCAAGUGAGCAACAAAAGACAUGAGGAGUGGAAGCCGCCCUGAAGGCUGCUUUGACUGCAUUGUUAGUGGCUGUCCCUAGACAAGUGAAAGCCCCUGGACUGUGGGAAAGACUGUAACAGGAUAUUGAUAUUUAUUAAGUGUUGGAAAAGUAACGUAACAGUUGAAGCGAGGACUCCUCUGGCCCUCUGUGGACCUCCACGAACGAUGACUUUCAUGGCAAGCUGAAGACAGGUCUAUGUGACUCCAUGACACAUGGUGUCUAUGUGACUCCAGCUCACCUCCUUGCCUCCUAAGUCGAUGAACCAGCAGAUUGAACCCAAAGCUCCAUGGUUGUUUAGGCCGGAGCUGCGACUUUACGGCGGAGACUUUGCAUUCACAGAGUUCUGCAUUCCGUUUCCAGCGCUGAGAACAUCCUGCUUUGUGCUGUGAAGAAACAUCACAAUUAAAGCAAAGUGUGUGAAAGACAAUCGUUAUACACAGACUUAUUAAGCUCCCACCAGGGUAAAGAAACAGGUUUUUACCAGCAUCCCAGGAGCCUCCAGUAUAUCCCUUCCCAAACAACCUUUGCCUCUUAGAAAUAACCAUUGCAUUUAUGGUAAUUAUGACAUUGGUUUCUAAUAGCUCUAUAAAAUUGAAAAAAAAAUUUAUCCCAUUUUUCAAAAAUUAUGAUUGAAAUUCAAUUUUAUAAAUAUGUUGAAUUUUUAGAGGGUCACAUGACUUCUGGUUUAAGUUUAUUAAUGUGAUGAAGUAUCUUUGCAUUACUAGUGUAAGAUAAACCUAGUUGUAUUCAUUUCUUGUGGCUGAUGUAAUAAAUUUAAAACAAC
ensembl:lincRNA 4833418N02Rik RIKEN cDNA 4833418N02 gene